GACGAACGCUGGCGGCGUGCUUAACACAUGCAAGUCGAACGGAAAGGCCCUGCUCUUGUGGGGUGCUCGAGUGGCGAACGGGUGAGUAACACGUGAGUAACCUGCCCUUGACUUUGGGAUAACUUCAGGAAACUGGGGCUAAUACCGGAUAGGAGCUCCUGCUGCAUGGUGGGGGUUGGAAAGUUUCGGCGGUUGGGGAUGGACUCGCGGCUUAUCAGCUUGUUGGGGGGGUAGUGGCUUACCAAGGGUUUGACGGGUAGCCGGCCUGAGAGGGUGACCGGCGACAUUGGGACUGAGGUACGGAGCAGACUCCAACGGGAGGCAGCAGUGGGGAAUAUUGCACAAUGGGCGGAAGCCUGAUGCAGCAACGCCGCGUGCGGGAUGACGGCCUUCGGGUUGUAAACCGAUUUCGCCUGUGACGAAGCGUGAGUGACGGUAAUGGGUAAGGAAGCACCGGCUAACUACGUG
rnacentral:rRNA from 1 species